UAGGUGAACCUGCGGAAGGAUCAUUACCGAGUUCAUGCCCUUCGGGGUAGAUCUCCCACCCUUUGUAUACUAUACCUUUGUUGCUUUGGCGGGCCGCCUAGCUACUGGCUUCGGCUGGUAAGUGCCCGCCAGAGAACCCAAAACCCUGAAUUAUUAGUGUCGUCUGAGUAAAAUAUUUAAUAUUUAAAACUUUCAACAACGGAUCUCUUGGCUCUGGCAUCGAUGAAGAACGCAGCGAAAUGCGAUAAGUAAUGUGAAUUGCAGAAUUCAGUGAAUCAUCGAAUCUUUGAACGCACAUUGCGCCCCUUGGUAUUCCGAGGGGCAUGCCUAUUCGAGCGUCAUUAUCACCCCUCAAGCCUAGCUUGGUGUUGAGACCUGCUGUCAAGGCAGUCUCUAAAAUCAGUGGCAGUGCUGUCAGGCUCUAAGCGUAGUAAAUUCAUCGCUAUAGACACCUGGUGGACACUCGCCAGAACCCCCCCAUUUUUUAAUGAUUGACCUCGGAUUAGGUAGGGAUACCCGCUGAACUUAAGCAUAUC
rnacentral:rRNA from 1 species